rnacentral:lncRNA from 1 species
AUUUUGAGACCUCCCUCUGAGCAUCUUCCUGAGAUGUGAUGCAGUAGAGCUAUCUGGGAAAUCUCAGAACACUUUCUGGAAAAGUGAAGAAGGCUCCUCUACGUUUCUCAGCAUGGUCCCAGUGCUGCUGGAACCCAAAGAACAGAGCCCUGAGAUCCAUUCCUCUUCCUGGUUUAUGUCUGAACAAAGUGAAGGUCAGCAUCUGAGUGGGAUCGAUUCAUGGCUCUGUAAAAGGUUCCCGUGCCAAACAACAAACAAAGCACCUUCAUCCAUCUGGACAGAACUGAUUAAGUCUCUUAGCACACGUCACUAGACAGGAGAGACAAAGAUGAAAGGAUAUUCAACAGCAGACAACAAGAAGUUGUGCCAUCGGUAGAGUGAAUGCAUAAAUACCGACAAUCUGCAGGCAGCACUACGUUUUCCAUGUUUUACUUCUA